GUGGGCGUAGCUCAGUUGGAUAGAGCAUCGGUUUUCUAAACCGACGGUCGGGGGUUCAAAUCCCUCCGCCCAUGCCA
rnacentral:tRNA from 1 species